GUGGGGAAUAUUGCGCAAUGGGCGAAAGCCUGACGCAGCGACGCCGCGUGAGGGAUGAAGGUUUUCGGAUCGUAAACCUCUGUCAGAAGGGAAGAAACUACAUUGUGCUAAUCAGCAGUGUACUGACGGUACCUUCAAAGGAAGCACCGGCUAACUCCGUGCCAGCAGCCGCGGUAAUACGGAGGGUGCAAGCGUUAAUCGGAAUUACUGGGCGUAAAGCGCACGUAGGCUGUAGUGUAAGUCAGGGGUGAAAUCCCACGGCUCAACCGUGGAACUGCCUUUGAUACUGCACAACUUGAAUCCGGGAGAGGGUGGCGGAAUUCCAGGUGUAGGAGUGAAAUCCGUAGAUAUCCGGAGGAACACCGGUGGCGAAGGCGGCCACCUGGACAGGUACUGACGCUGAGGCGCGAAAGCGUGGGGAGCAAACAGGAUUAGAAACCCCGGUAGUCC
rnacentral:rRNA from 1 species